ACGAACGCUGGCGGCGUGCUUAACACAUGCCAGUCGAGCGGAAAGGCCCUUCGGGGUCCUCGAGCGGCGAACGGGUGAGUAACACGUGAGUAACCUGCCCCAGACUUUGGGAUAACCCUCGGAAACGGGGGCUAAUACCGGAUACGACACAGCUUCGCAUGGGGUCUGUGUGGAAAGUUUUUCGGUUUGGGAUGGGCUCGCGGCCUAUCAGCUUGUUGGUGGGGUGAUGGCCUACCAAGGCGACGACGGGUAGCCGGCCUGAGAGGGCGACCGGCCACACUGGGACUGAGACACGGCCCAGACUCCUACGGGAGGCAGCAGUGGGGAAUAUUGCACAAUGGGCGGAAGCCUGAUGCAGCGACGCCGCGUGAGGGAUGACGGCCUUCGGGUUGUAAACCUCUUUCAGCAGGGACGAAGCGUAAGUGACGGUACCUGCAGAAGAAGCGCCGGCCAACUACGUG
rnacentral:rRNA from 1 species